rnacentral:rRNA from 1 species
UUUAUGGAGAGUUUGAUCCUGGCUCAGAGUGAACGCUGGCGGCGUGCCUAAUACAUGCAAGUCGAACGAUGAAGCUUCUAGCUUGCUAGAAUGCUGAUUAGUGGCGCACGGGUGAGUAACGCAUAGGUCAUGUGCCUCUUAGUUUGGGAUAGCCAUUGGAAACGAUGAUUAAUACCAGAUACUCCCUACGGGGGAAAGAUUUAUCGCUAAGAGAUCAGCCUAUGUCCUAUCAGCUUGUUGGUAAGGUAAUGGCUUACCAAGGCUAUGACGGGUAUCCGGCCUGAGAGGGUGAACGGACACACUGGAACUGAGACACGGUCCAGACUCCUACGGGAGGCAGCAGUAGGGAAUAUUGCUCAAUGGGGGAAACCCUGAAGCAGCAACGCCGCGUGGAGGAUGAAGGUUUUAGGAUUUUAAACUCCUUUUGUUAGAGAAGAUAAUGACGGUAUCUAACGAAUAAGCACCGGCUAACUCCGUGCCAGCAGCCGCGGUAAUACGGAGGGUGCAAGCGUUACUCGGAAUCACUGGGCGUAAAGAGCGCGUAGGCGGGAUAGUCAGUCAGGUGUGAAAUCCUAUGGCUUAACCAUAGAACUGCAUUUGAAACUACUAUUCUAGAGUGUGGGAGAGGUAGGUGGAAUUCUUGGUGUAGGGGUAAAAUCCGUAGAGAUCAAGAGGAAUACUCAUUGCGAAGGCGACCUGCUGGAACAUUACUGACGCUGAUUGCGCGAAAGCGUGGGGAGCAAACAGGAUUAGAUACCCUGGUAGUCCACGCCCUAAACGAUGGAUGCUAGUUGUUGGAGGGCUUAGUCUCUCCAGUAAUGCAGCUAACGCAUUAAGCAUCCCGCCUGGGGAGUACGGUCGCAAGAUUAAAACUCAAAGGAAUAGACGGGGACCCGCACAAGCGGUGGAGCAUGUGGUUUAAUUCGAAGAUACACGAAGAACCUUACCUAGGCUUGACAUUGAGAGAAUCCGCUAGAAAUAGUGGAGUGUCUGGCUUGCUAGACCUUGAAAACAGGUGCUGCACGGCUGUCGUCAGCUCGUGUCGUGAGAUGUUGGGUUAAGUCCCGCAACGAGCGCAACCCCCUUUCUUAGUUGCUAACAGGUUAUGCUGAGAACUCUAAGGAUACUGCCUCCGUAAGGAGGAGGAAGGUGGGGACGACGUCAAGUCAUCAUGGCCCUUACGCCUAGGGCUACACACGUGCUACAAUGGGGUGCACAAAGAGAAGCAAUACUGCGAAGUGGAGCCAAUCUUCAAAACACCUCUCAGUUCGGAUUGUAGGCUGCAACUCGCCUGCAUGAAGCUGGAAUCGCUAGUAAUCGCAAAUCAGCCAUGUUGCGGUGAAUACGUUCCCGGGUCUUGUACUCACCGCCCGUCACACCAUGGGAGUUGUGUUUGCCUUAAGUCAGGAUGCUAAAUUGGCUACUGCCCACGGCACACACAGCGACUGGGGUGAAGUCGUAACAAGGUAACCGUAGGUGAACCUGCGGUUGGAUCACCUCCUUU